GCCUCCAGUAGUUGUAGUAAAGCUUCGCGGCGAGUGUCGGGGAUCUUAAGCUCGCUUUUUUUAUUUGUUUUUUCUCUCUCUCUCUCUCUCUCUCUCUCUCCAGAAAUUAAAGCACAGGAGCAUCUGAAAGUGGAAAGGUCCCCCUUCUGGUAGGAUGGAUGUAAGAGGAGGCAACAAUUUAUUCUGGAGGGGGCAAGCGGGGGAAUGCAUCUGCUUCGGCUUUGCACUGUCGGACUUUGAAAUAAAGUGUGUUCUGCUCUGGUUGUCCACACCCGGGGCAUCUUUACAGACCUGCCGAGUCUCUCUUAGUUGGAAUCUUUUUGAAGCUGUGAUGGAGCUAGAACCUUCCUUCAGAGUAUGGUCUACUCCUUGUAGGGAGAGUUCAGCAGAAGCCAGAGCCGAAGUUUUUGCAUGAAUCUGACAAAGGUGAUCCCUGAACUACUCUUGCAGGAACACUACUGUGAAACACCAAUUGACACAUUUCGGCUGGAGUGACAAAAAUAGGAGGUGAGCAUGUUCUAAAAGCUGGAUAGAGUCAAUGUCGCUGUCCUAUAGUGGCAUUCAGAGCUGCUUGCCCCAAGCACCUUUAGAGAGACUGGGCAAAGCAACUCUUCAGUCUCCAGGCUGGCUUUAGGGCUCUAUUAUCUUUCUUUGUGUGAUUUCUCCCCACUUCUCAGGGCACCUUUUCUUUGUGCCAAGAACAUGAUCUCUGGUUUUCUAUGCCUCUCCAGGUGAGUCCCACACUCAAAGUGUCUUCAGUCAUAGUUUCUGACUCUCUUAGAUUUCCCAGCCUUCUUCACUCUUCCACAUUUUCAUGUGAAUAGCUUGUAGAUGCCAUUGAAAGGAUGCUAUUUAGGUCAAAUGUAGGAUCAAUUCCAGAUAGCACAAAUAGUGUCCAAGAGACAAAUAAGAUAUUUGAACUAAGCACAGGAGAUAAUUGGGAACUCUACAAAAUAAGUGUCUGUACAUUGUGUCAACUAUGAUUCCUGCCCUCUUUGUGACCUUGGUAUUGCUUCCUUGGGAAGAGCCAUGGCUCAGCCACAAGAAUACACACAGCAAGCUACCAGAGCAGGGAAGGGGAACUUGGCUCACCACAUUUGACACACUUGCAAGCCCUGCUCUAAACAUUGUUCCAUGUGGUUGUCAGUGGCUGAGACUGUGUUCUCUAAAGUGAAUUACACUUCAGUUAAACCAAUGUGAAGUUACCAGUUACAGAGAUUAACUUGAAUCUGCAGCUGGGUCCAUUUGCCUGCAAUUGGUCUAUAUUCUUGCUUUUCUAAUAAAAAAAAUUAAAGUUUGAUCUGGGUCUGGGAU
rnacentral:lncRNA from 12 species